UCUUAGUAGGCUUAGUUGGUUAAAGCGCCGGUCUAUAUAAUACGGAGUCGUGGGUUCGAAUCCCACCAUAAAGCG
rnacentral:tRNA from 1 species